GAGGGCAUAGCUCCACGGUAAAGCACAUGCUUAUUUAGCACGCACAAGGUCCUGGGUUCAAUUCCCAGUGCCUUCA
rnacentral:tRNA from 1 species